AGUUUGAUCCUGGCUCAGGAUGAACGCUGGCGGCGUGCCUAAUACAUGCAAGUCGAGCGAACAGAYGAGGAGCUUGCUCCUCUGACGUUAGCGGCGGACGGGUGAGUAACACGUGGAUAACCUACCUAUAAGACUGGGAUAACUUCGGGAAACCGGAGCUAAUACCGGAUAAUAUAUUGAACCGCAUGGUUCAAUAGUGAAAGACGGUUUUGCUGUCACUUAUAGAUGGAUCCGCGCCGCAUUAGCUAGUUGGUAAGGUAACGGCUUACCAAGGCRACGAUGCGUAGCCGACCUGAGAGGGUGAUCGGCCACACUGGAACUGAGACACGGUCCAGACUCCUACGGGAGGCAGCAGUAGGGAAUCUUCCGCAAUGGGCGAAAGCCUGACGGAGCAACGCCGCGUGAGUGAUGAAGGUCUUCGGAUCGUAAAACUCUGUUAUUAGGGAAGAACAAAUGUGUAAGUAACUAUGCACGUCUUGACGGUACCUAAUCAGAAAGCCACGGCUAACUACGUGCCAGCAGCCGCGGUAAUACGUAGGUGGCAAGCGUUAUCCGGAAUUAUUGGGCGUAAAGCGCGCGUAGGCGGUUUUUUAAGUCUGAUGUGAAAGCCCACGGCUCAACCGUGGAGGGUCAUUGGAAACUGGAAAACUUGAGUGCAGAAGAGGAAAGUGGAAUUCCAUGUGUAGCGGUGAAAUGCGCAGAGAUAUGGAGGAACACCAGUGGCGAAGGCGACUUUCUGGUCUGUAACUGACGCUGAUGUGCGAAAGCGUGGGGAUCAAACAGGAUUAGAUACCCUGGUAGUCC
rnacentral:rRNA from 1 species